UAAUACGGAGGGGGCUAGCGUUGUUCGGAAUUACUGGGCGUAAAGCGCGCGUAGGCGGCUUUGUAAGUUAGAGGUGAAAGCCCGGGGCUCAACUCCGGAAUUGCCUUUAAGACUGCAUCGCUAGAAUCGUGGAGAGGUGAGUGGAAUUCCGAGUGUAGAGGUGAAAUUCGUAGAUAUUCGGAAGAACACCAGUGGCGAAGGCGACUCACUGGACACGUAUUGACGCUGAGGAGCGAAAGCUAGGGGAGCAAACGG
rnacentral:rRNA from 1 species